AUAGAACUCAAUGGCAUCAUCGUAGUUUUCUACGACAAGUGCGAUAUUGCCGAUUUGCUGUUGAACGACUUUAGACAUGCUGAUUUCUCAAGAUUUCAAAAGCCGGAUUCUACACUACUUCGAGAUUUUU
rnacentral:sRNA from 1 species